CCUACGGGAGGCAGCAGUAAGGAAUAUUGGACAAUGCUCGCAAGAGUGAUCCAGCCAUGCCGCGUGCAGGAAGAAUGCCCUAUGGGUAGUAAACUGCUUUUGAACUAGAGAAAAUCCCAGUACGUGUACUGGGCUGAUAGUAUAGUUAGAAUAAGCAUCGGCUAACUUCGUGCCAGCAGCCGCGGUAAGACGAAGGAUGCAAGCGUUAUCCGGGAUUCAUUGGGUUUAAAACGGGAGCGUAGGUGGACUGAUAAGUCAGUGGUGAAAUCUCCGAGCUUAACUCGGAAAUUGCCAUUGAUACUGUUGGUCUUGAGUACAGUUGCUGUGGGCGGAAUAUGACAUGUAGUGGUGAAAUACAUAGAGAUGUCAUAGAACACCGAUUGCGAAGGCAGCUCACAAAGCUGUAACUGACACUGAGGCUCGAAAGUGCGGGGAUCAAACAGGAUUAGAUACCCUGGUAGUCCGCACCGUAACGAUGAUUACUCGCUGNGUAGGGCGACCGUUACGUUGUCGUAGACGAAGACGAGUAAGUAAGUACCGACCGUCGGGAGGUACGGCCGGCCGACGGUACGAACGUACGAAGUAGAGUUAGACGGCGNGGAGACGNGCCGACGGACGACGACGACGGGGAGGUUAGG
rnacentral:rRNA from 1 species